rnacentral:tmRNA from 1 species
CCCGUGCGACUCCCCAAGUAUAUUCAACAAAGAUUAUUUUUUUAUGGGGGCCAAACAGGUUCCACAAGGGUGUAAAGAUUGUUCUUUUACUCCGGAUUGUACCACCGUUAUCGGGCUAGAUGAAUAGUUGCAAAUGACAACUAUGCGGAGGCCCGUCUCAUCCCUGCUUAACCGAUGCUAAGGUUUCAAAUUAAUUUUUAAACCCUCCCAGGUUUAACCGGGUUUCAAAGGCCCUUGAAACAAAACCAGGCUAUGUCGCUUGA